UCCUUAGACACAUUCCUGAGGUUUUCACUUGAAGAUACACUUUCCACUAAUUACUUUUGCAUAUAUUCUCCAUUACUCUCCUGGAUGAGACAUUAGAAUGACAGCCCUGAAGUCAGGGAUGGUCGUAUUCCAUGAGCUUUGUGAAUCUGUUCGAUGGUCUUUUUGAUGGUGGGUCACAAUUGCUAGAUGAUGGGAUCAGUGAUCCAAUGACCUUCUAAGCUGAUGAUCUUAACAAGCUGCUUACCUGCUUGUCAGAGCUUCCAGAGAACCCAUUGGGCAGAAAGGCAGCUCCUUCUGCCACAGUAAGAGAAAAUGACACCAGUUAAGGAUGCAGGUGAGCAGUUUGACCACUGAUGUGUAAUAUCUUACCGAUUAAUGACCUUCUUUUGCUCCCUCCCUCAUUCUCCUAACAGAAUAUAAAUGUGUUUGUUUGUUUUCUUUCAAGGAAAAGAGUGAAAUCCACAAAUUGCUUUGGCUUACAGCUACUAGGAAAAAAAAGAGACCUAAAUUAUGUUUUUUGUGCUCCCACUAUUCUCAUUCUAUAUGCAUUGGUGGUAACAUAGGAUUUUUACAUCUAAUGAAGCCACGUUCUUCCACGUUCAUGUUUUUCUUUCCCUCCAUUUAAGAAUCCAAUGCCAAACCUAUCUCCAAACUCUGUUGGAGCUGAUCCAGUGCCCAGUGAAAUGGAUGGCCAUGCUUCUAUCAGAUGAUAACAAGGAUCAGACCUCAAUUCCAAAUGCUUGCUAAAAGAAGUUUCAUUGCAACCCUCCUUGCACUUCAAGAAUCUCUGUUCUCUUACCUCUACCGUCUAUUUUGGACUUUUUCAUCAUACCUGAGCCAAGUUUCAUUGUCUGUACUGCCGUGUCACCCUGUGGUGGCAGCUGAUAUUACAAGCAAACAGAAAGAAACCUUCAUUUAACAGUUGGGUUCUCCUGGUUGAGCUGCGGGUGCACAAAGUGAAACCUUCACCUUGGCCCUUCCUCACCAAAGGGAAGAUGCAGACAAGAAAGUUUUCUUUACAUAUAAGAAACGGUAAUGCUUCAGCUGGAGUUCAUCAGUAAUGCUGCUGGAAACAGUUAUCUUGGAUUCCCCCCAGAUACUUUUGUGAAUGUCUCACAAUCUUCAACUUAAUCUUUCAGCACAGCUUUUCCAGAGCAGUCAGAAAAGAGCAAUGUACUCAUCUUUGACGUAGUGAGCACGGAAGCCAUGACCUGAAGUGAGGCUGUUGGACCUCACCAGCUCUGCUGCCAUACGGAUCAACUGUGCUCAUCUUCCCUUUGAGCAUCAUGUCUUGUAGGAUGACAUCUGCAAACAGGAAGCAAUGGCUCCAUUUGAGACAGCUGCAGAACUCCCAGUGCUAAAGGUGGCUCAUUCAUAAAGCCCUGUGCACAUCUCCUGUUUGCUGUAACUGCAAUGAAUGAAGUGCUCUCAGGAAAAGCCAGACAUAGACACCGUUCAGCCUCAAAGGUCCCUCCAUUUUGCUCCAUUAUUAUUAUAAACGCUUCGCAGUAGAGGAGCCACCCGCGAGCAGCGCCCCCUAGUGGCCGAUCCGGGAAGCGC